AUUGAACGCUGGCGGCAGGCCUAACACAUGCAAGUCGAGCGGAGCGGCGGACUGGUGAGUAAUGCCUAGGAAUCUGCCUGGUAGCGGGGGAUAACGUCCGGAAACGGGCGCUAAUCACGCAUCAUAUCAGAUGAGCCUAGGUCGGAUUAGCUCGUUGGUGGGCUAAAGGCCUACCAAGGCGACGAUCCGUAACUGGUCUGAGAGGAUGAUCAGUCACACUGGAACUGAGACACGGUCCAGACUCCUACGGAAGGCAGCAGUGGGGAAUAUUGGACAAUGGGAGAAAGCCUGAUCCGGCCAUGCCGCGUGUGUGAAGAAGGUCUUCGGAUUGAAAAGCACUGUAAGUUGGGAGGCGUUACCAACAGAAUAAGCGCCGGCUAACUUCGUGACAGCAGCCGCGGUAAUUC
rnacentral:rRNA from 1 species